rnacentral:rRNA from 1 species
UCGUUGUUUCCGAUGAUGGUGCAAUACAGGUUAUCGGACUGGAGGCCCUUGCCUUUGGGAAGUUAACCGAUAUUUCUUCAAUAGAGGAAGCAA